UGAUAGGAUGGAGCAGCUGGGCUUGAAUACACUUGAGUUUAAAAGGAUGAGAGGGAUUCUUAUUGAAAUAUAUAAGAUUGUUAAGGGUUUGGACAC